UGGCAGUUUUUAGCAGUUCAGCCCCUCUCUCCUAAAUUCCUAAAAGUAAGGCUAAAUUCCUGCUAUUGGCUUGCAGUUUGCAGCGGUUUGCAACUCCCACGUUCUGCUUCUACACUCUCUUUAUAUCUCACUUUGCAAUCCCCAGGAAUUCCUCAUAGAUAAGCCUACACAACCACCUAUGCCGUAAGACAAUCAUCGCACAACCACCAUAAUGACGGAAAUGGACCGGCAACCGGUACACCACCACUCCGACAACUGCCGCAUCAGCGACGAACUUCUGGCACUUGAUUGUAACCUCACCUCUCUCUGCGAUCAUACUCAAUCGAAAGGUUCUAAUCACGGAUCGUUCUCGGAUGUAAUCUUGAAGGCUAUGGGCGCUAGGUAUCAUCUUCGCCGUUUGAUUCACUCUUGCAGCUUGUAUUAUCACGUCUACUGAGUCGGUGGCUUUAUUAUCAACUAUUGGCGGGGUAAAAUCCGGAGGGCUUGUGGUGGAAAUUGAUAGUUUCUACCAUAAAAGCAACCAUGAUUUUGCAGCCAUGGCGUUAUCCGGCCACCGUCUCAGGUCGUCUCCCUGUAGAUGAAACAGGGAAGCCUCUGUUGGUGAAGAUGUGGGACUACGGGUGGCGUUGGUGUUGUUCCCAGUAAAACACAAUCCUGGUCCGGUGAACCUAGGGUUCCGCCGUGACAUCAUACAACGGCGGUGAUGGAGUUUGAGUAAUCAAAAACGAUGGUUAAAGGAUUCAAGGGAGAUGAAGACGAUCCAACAUGUUUUUCGUUAGUGUUUGAGUUGUAGAAAAAUGGGGCAUGUUCGAGAAAUUGGCCGAGCCAAGGCUCAAUUUCUUAAACCCUUACGCCGGUCACUAUCUCACCAGCAUUCUUGAAUGGAAUUGAUGAUUAAAAUUCAUUUUUCUUACUUAAAUCCUCAAUGGUUAUGUCAUGUAAAUUUAUAAAAUUAAUAUUCUCUUGAUAAAUGUUGUCAGGUAAGAGUUGUGGAUGUUGGAUUUUUCUAGAUUCUUUACAACACUCAUAAGGUUAUAAUACAAGUAUGAAUAUGAUGGUCUCAAUCGGAGAGUUGAUUUUGCUCUAUCAUGCAGGUGUUUGGUAUUUCAUCCUAUAUGCUUGUAAUGGCCAUUGCAAGGCUUAGUUAAUGAGGCUGCAAAACGAUUCAUUUGGUGGUACUGCAAGAAUGACAUUAAUUAUGGUUGUUACCCAUCUCCACGAUAUUGUACAGAAACUAGAAAUUGUAGAUACUGACCAAGGGUGAGCUCUCUAGCUUUUGAAAGCUCACAAUUAAAAAAGAGACAAACAUUUUUCUAAGUUUUUAUGGUCAAUAACUUUUGUGGUGAACUUAUAAAUCUAAAGUAUUAAUAAAUUAUAAAAUUUAGAUAAAUUAAAAUAAGAAUCGUUUUAAAUAGGUAGUCUUCGUGUCAACCCAUGAAAACUCAUGUUGUGUUUGUCUUCAUGUGUCUGGCAUAGUUCCGGGUUUGGGUUAAGUUUCGGGUCCGCUUCAGAUUCAACCCGUAAUAAGAAAAAUAAUCAUGUGCGGGUUUUCUUAACCCCAACACAUCUGAGUUCUGAACAUAGUGAUGGAAUAUGCAGCACGUGGUGAACUCUUUGUCCAGAUUUUCAAUGCUGGCAGAUUUAGUGAAAAUGAGGUUCACACACACCAUCGCUUUCUCUAUUGUACAAAUGAAACCAUGAAAAACUAAAACUUUGAAGUGAUAUCUAACAGGCUAGAUUUUUCUUCCAACAGCUUGUAUUUCGGGUCAGCUACUGUCAUUCAAAGAAAUUUGUCACAGAGAUCUGAAGCUUGAGAAUACUCUAUAGAUGGAUGUCGAACCCCUAAACUACCUUUGUUAGGACAGUUUUAUCUUUUUAUUUGAAGGCUUUAUUAUCAUGCACUUUGUGGUCAUAUGUUCAAUCUGCUUUAUUGCACUCUCAACCAAAAUCGAAAGUGGGAACACCAGCAUACAUUGCCCUCGAGGUUAUAUCUUGUAAAGAAUAUGAUGACAAGGUACUUCGUUGCAUCUUUUGGUUAGUUUGUUUUGUAGAAAAAUACUAGAGGUGGAAAAAUGGUGGGUCUCACGAGUUGGGUUAUGGGUCAAAAUGGUUGUUUUUAUGUACGGGUUAGAUUGAUCCAUUUAUAAAUUAUUAUUGUGUCAUAUGAUCACAAAAGUUACAUAGUUCAGUAAUAGUAUACUAUCAUUUGAAUAAAAGAAUAUAUUUUUUUAUCAUCUAUGCAUUAAAAUACACUUUGGGCAACUGUUUGAUCCGUUUUCUUCGUAAGCUAAGGUGUUUGAUCCUAAUAUAGAAUAAGCAUAACCCUAAAAGACCAUUUUAUAAAUAAAUGGGUCGAAUCGCCACAUAUACAAACAUACCAUAGUUUUAUUUAAUCGUUUAUUUUGUGCUAGAUUGCAAUUUUUUGAUCAUGUGGGUGACACUUUAUGUUAUGCUUGAAGGAGCUUACCCUUUUGAGGAUCCCUUAGACCUUCAAAAUUUCCGUAAGACAAUUGAGAUAGGAUAUAUUAAAAGGUUGUUUAAGUGAUAUAGUAUAUAUUUGUUCCUAGCAGAAUAGAGAUAAUGUUGAUUUUAUGGUCGAAAGUCAAAACUUGCAAUUUGCAGAUAUAUAGUUGAUAUAAAUUUUGACAACAUUAUAACCACAGCUUUACAUAAUAAGUAUUAUUUGGCUCCAAUUGAAUUAUAUGCAUCAGAAAUAUCACCUAAACUUGAAGUUUAAAAGACUGAAAGUUGGAACUUAGUUUCUUUGGCUUAAAAAAGUGUCAUGACCUGAUUAUAACAUCGAGUUGUUCUUACUAUACACAGAGAAUCUUGAGCGUUUAGUACUUGAUACCUGAUUAUGUACGUGAUUUCAGGGGUGUCAGUUGUGGCAGUUGAUGUGUUGACAGAUUAGCGGGUUGGCAGGUUGAAAUGUGCAACCCGAACCCUGCCCAUACUAUUUUUCUUGUCAAAAGUUUCAACCCUAACCAGUACACACAUAAAUUCGGGUCAACCCGAACACGACCAUUUAACCCGUUCUUUCAAACGAGUCAUAGAUGUUGACGAGUUAUAAGCUGGUUGUUGGGUUGUAAGUGGGUCAUCGGUAACAUGUUUAAUGGUGAGUAUAAGUGGGACAAGUAGAUAACAUAGUGUGAUCAAACUAACAUUAUUAUGGCUAACCAUAUACAAUGGAAAACGGAAAAACCAAAUAUAUAAAAGUUUCUUUCUUAAAAUACUUAAACGGGUUAACGGGUCAACCUGUUUUUAUAUGGGUCAACCCGAACUUAGCCUGUUUUUAAUACGGGUUAACCCUAACCUGGCCCAUUUAUUGAAUGGGUUGAAUGGGUCGGUUCGGGUGGCCUUAUCUAAUCUCAAAUCGGCCAACUAAGGUUUAUAAUUCAUUGCAUACAACCUUGUACGUAAGGAGGGCCCUCACACAUGAUUGCAUACCCACUUUCAAUGUUGCAUGGAUGGCUAAUUAAAGAUACG